rnacentral:rRNA from 1 species
UACGUAGGUGGCAAGCGUUGUCCGGAAUCAUUGGGCGUAAAGCGCGUGUAGGCGGCUUGGUAAGUCCGGUGUGAAACCUUGGGGCUCAACCCCAAGCCUGCACUGGAUACUGCCUCGCUUGAGUCCGGGAGGGGAGAGCGGAAUUCCUAGUGUAGCGGUGAAAUGCGCAGAUAUUAGGAAGAACACCGGUGGCGAAGGCGGCUCUCUGGAACGGUACUGACGCUGAGACGCGAAAGCGUGGGGAGCGAACAGG